rnacentral:rRNA from 1 species
UAACUCGGGGAUAACAUUGCGAAAGCGAUGCUAAUACCGGAUGACAUCAUGAAACCUUGGUUUUUAUGAUCAAAGGUGGCCUCUACAUGUAAGCUUCCGAUUAGAGAUGAGCCCGCGUACCAUUAGCUUGUUGGUGGGGUAACGGCCUACCAAGGCUGCGAUGGUUAGCUGGUCUGAGAGGAUGAUCAGCCACACUGGAACUGACACACGGUCCAG